rnacentral:siRNA from 1 species
AUGUGUAAAUAGUAGGUUCCA